AUUGUCUACUAUGUUACUCUGAACAAGACCGAUUCCAUCUGAUCUUAAAAUCAAAGCAGGGUCAGGCCUGGUUAGUACUUGGAUGGGAGCUCACCUAAGAAGCCCAGGUGCUGUAGGCAUAA
rnacentral:rRNA from 1 species